rnacentral:rRNA from 1 species
AUACGGAGGGUGCAAGCGUUAUUCGGAAUCACUGGGCGUAAAGGACGCGUAGGCGGGUUGGCAAGUCAGAUGUGAAAUCCUACAGCUUAGCUGUAGAACUGCAUUUGAAACUGCUAACCUAGAGUAUGGGAGGGGGAGAUGGAAUUAGUGGUGUAGGGGUAAAAUCCGUAGAUAUCACUAGGAAUAUCGAAAGCGAAGGCGAUCUCCUGGAACAUAACUGACGCUAAGGCGUGAAAGCGUGGAGCAAACAGGAUUAGAAACCCCAGUAGUCC